UACGAAGGGGGCUAGCGUUGCUAGGAAUUACUGGGCGUAAAGGGAGCGUAGGCGGGUUAUCAAGUUGGAGGUGAAAGCCCAGGGCUCAACCUUGGAAUUGCCUUCAAAACUGAUAGCCUAGAGUAUGAUAGAGGUAAGUGGAACUCCGAGUGUAGAGGUGAAAUUCGUAGAUAUUCGGAAGAACACCAGUGGCGAAGGCGACUUACUGGAUCAUGACUGACGCUGAGGCUCGAAAGCGUGGGGAGCAAACAGG
rnacentral:rRNA from 1 species